rnacentral:rRNA from 1 species
UACGAAGGGGGCUAGCGUUGUUCGGAUUUACUGGGCGUAAAGCGCGCGUAGGCGGGCGUUUAAGUCAGGGGUGAAAUCCCAGGGCUCAACCCUGGAACGGCCUUUGAUACUGGAUGCCUGGAGAUCGGGAGAGGUUGGUGGAAUUCCGAGUGUAGAGGUGAAAUUCGUAGAUAUUAGGAAGAACACCGGUGGCGAAGGCGGCCCACUGGAUCGGUACUGACGCUGAGGUGCGAAAGCGUGGGGAGCAAACAGG